AAAAUUUUGAGACAGGGUCUUUCAUAAUCACUAAUUUGCUGUGUUACUUAGGUUUCUUUCUCUGGAGGAACAGAAUCAACAGAAAAUCUUUGUGUAAUUGUGGAAGGGGAUUUAUUAGGUAUCUUACAGGAUCAAAUGUUGAGAGUCCACAAUACCCACUUCCAGCGAGCCGGAGGAUGCAUGUGCUGCUCAGCCCACGAAGAUGGAAGCAACAGAACAAAAGGGAUCAGGAGGCAGCACCAGUCUAAGGCAGAAGGCCUGGCUACUCACUGCAGUGUCACCACUUGAGUCUUUGUUGGAAGGGUGAAGAAACUGGAGACCCACAGCCAAAGCCCAAGAAGCAGCAAAGAAACUAAUCAAGAGGAAUUGUGGGCAAGAACACCCCGGAAUAAGAGCCUGUGUGGGGUUGCGCUGUCGUCACCGUUCCCUCAUCUACACAGGACCCAGGAGACCACCUCUGAUGAUGCUCAACUCCUUCUCGAGGUGGUUACUUGUAGAACAGGAGAAGGGAAACAUGUUUUCUGUAAGGCAUCCGACAGACUCCUGCAAUACCUUUAUGGUGCACGCGAUGGGGAAGUACUACGUAGGUGGCACAUCUCUAGCCAACGGAAUAGCUCUCCCCGAGGGGCAGGCUGUCAUUCUGCAUGGAGGACUCUUGACGGCUCCAAGAACUGGACCAGGUACCGGACCAGGUACCGGGCAUGCAGAAGGAAGAGCAGGCUGGGGUGCAGGACUGGGUCUAGCACUGUCUCGGAUGUGGAUGUGGGCGUUUCGGGUUGAGUAUAAUGACUUGGGUGUGCAGUAGGGAGGGAGCGGGGGAGGCGGGGGCAGGGAACGGGGAGGGAACUAGUUGCAUAACAAACAAUUUAUUAAGUAAGAACCAACUGUGUAGCGAUGCUAUCUGGCCAUUGGGCAUGUUGUAACUCAGACUCACGAAGAACUGGAAGCAGAGGCGAUGACUUUCCCCAUGCAGUAGGCGGGUAGGUGGUAAGAGCUGGGACGGGAGCCCUGCUGAGCUAUGGAGGACCUUCAGUGGCAGGCAUAGUUGAGUUGGUCAGGUUGCACAUACGAGCGAAGGCUCAUCAACUCCUAGAGAAUCUAUGUCACUGUGGUUCCUUUCUGGAUCACCUCGUGUGAUCACUUGGAAGGUGAUAUACCCCUCUUCCUGUUAGGCCGGGUCUGGCCAGAGGAGGCAGGUCACUGUGGGCGUGGCCUGGACGCUGUGGCUCCCUCUCUGGCUCCUCCCCUCUCACUGUUCUUUCUGUCUGUCAGGCCGUGGUGAGCAUCUCCCCUCUGCCCGGCGCUUCCACCAUGCUCUCCUGCCUGGGAGCCAGGCACUGAAACCACUGCAUACCACGAGCCAAGUUAAUCCUCUCUUCUUGUACAUUGUGGGUGCUGGGUAUUGUGACCCAGAGACAAUGAGCAGAGAUGUAUGUAUCAUCCAGAAAAUAAAAGCCAUGCCUUCUGUGUACAGUCACACCUUGCACUGUGAGUAACUUGAUCUGUGAGUGUUCCGCAAGAUAAGCAAAUAUUCCUGAUGAAUUGUACUUGAUAAGUGAGCAGGGCCUUGCAGUAGGGGUAUGUGACAGAAUGUCACGUGACUGCAGCGGAGCCAAAGGUGAGCGCCCCCUGCUUCCCUCCCUCUCUCCCUCUGUCCCUGUCCCCCCACUUGCUCUCUGCCCCCGGGAUUAUGCGUGGUCAUGCUCGGUUACCAACAGGAAGAGGUGUAUGGAGGAGAUCUUGUCUGCAGAGGAGGAGAAAGGGCGGGGAACCCUUCACUUCAUAUGAUAUCAGGGAGAUGUAUAAAGGGUGGGAAACUGAAGGUUUUGUAGAAAAGCACCACCCGAAUAAGGCUGUGGCAUCGCGAGCGAUGAAUCUGUGUCAUGGCCACGCGAUGUCACAUUUCCAUGAAACCCUCAAAAGGAAGCAAGAGCAAGUGUCGUGGGAUAGGUUCCUUGUUGAAGCUGCAUGAAAAGAAAGACUCCAGGGAGCCAGCAGAUAGCAGUGAUUCCCCGUUAAUGAGGGUGAAAGUUGUGCUACACAGUAACCCUCCUCUCACCUCCCUCACGCAAGUCGUGGGGAUCUUGAAAGGAAAGUACAGGUUAGUUCAUUUACUUUUCUUCAUGUUUUGUAUUUUCUUUAUUAUUUUGUAUUAUAGCGUUGUAAUCACUUUUAGGUGAACGUUUUCGGGUUGUAGAAUGAAUGAAUCAUCUGAGCUGCCAUUAUUUCUUAUGGGGAAAUUCCCUUUGAUAUCCAGGUGCUUUGGAUUAUAAGCAGUUUCCAGGAUGAAUUCUGCUCACAAACCAAGGUUUUACCAGAUGUGUGUUUUCUGGGCAGUGUGUCCACAGCGCUCAGUUCUCGAAGUCGUGCUGUGUGACAGAGCGGGUAGGAGGAGUGGGGCCCAAAGCUGGAGAAGGGUUUCUGAGAAGGCAGGAACGGUCAGUGAGGUGAGACAGCAUAUAUCCAGGGACCAAAGGGAGCAGUGGGUGCAGGAGACCCCGGCAGCCCCAGUCAAAGGCAGGUGGGUGGGAGAGCAGGGGCGGAGGUGAGACCGGGUCUCACGCCUCGAGUCCAGAUGCUGGUGGGAAGGGAAGGGGAGCGAACUGGCUGUGGCCUAAUGUGAGCAGACAGAACAAGGAGCAAAAAAGGAUGGACAUGUAAUAUCAGACUCUAGCUAAAUGCAAUCACUGUGUAUCACGAAUGUACUAAUAAGUGAAUAAAUAGGACGAAGACAAGGGUUUUACUCUUCCAGUAAGAAGACUUGAGUAUUAAAUGUUAAGUGGCAAAUUAAAAAAGCAGUAGAUAUAAAAAUGGAAGUAAACCGUGGAGGUGCAUAGCUGUCAUCUCAGCAACCUGAGAGGCUGAGGCAGGAGGAUCACAAUCCUCAGUCACCAUUACUGAAAAAGAAAAAAGAAAAAAGGAGGGGGGCACAGAUGUAGCCUAGGGGUAGGGGACUUGCCUAGCAUGCACAGCGCACUGGAUUAAAUUCCCAGCACAGCAAUAAGUAAAUAAGUUUGAAAAAGGGGCAAGAACAGAUGGGAUCUAGGUACAGAGAGGGGGCUGCAGUUCUGCUUGGAGAGGGAGGCAGGAAGUCACGAUGACUCGGGGGAGCUCAGUGCAGGGAGUGGAGGAAUCCCUGCACUUUCUAUGGCGCAGAAACGAAGCUUAGAUACCUGAGGAGCAGGAGCAGGCGCUCAGAUAAUUCCGCAGCAGUUCAUCUGACCGCUGGCCAGUCCUCUCCCUGGUGAAAAGCCCUCUGCUUCCUUGUCUUUUCUCUCUUUCUUUUUUUCUUUUUUUUAGACAGGGUCUCCCUCAGGCUGGCCUUGAACCCAUUAUGUAGCCCAGGCUGGUCUCUAACUCCUGGUGAUCCUCCUGCCUCUGCCUCCCAAGUGCAGGGACGACAGGUGUGUGGCUCCAUGCCUGGCACCAAUGAAGCAGUCAUAGUACUUGACCCAGGUUCAAACCCUGCAGCCUCCUAGCUCUGCGACCUUGUGCAGGC
rnacentral:lncRNA from 1 species